UUCGCUUCUCGGAUCGGACCUAAAACCCGCAGCUGAGGUGCUGGCAGGGCUGAAGUUGGGAACACGCACAGCCUCGCGCGCUGCGUGGGGUAAUAACAAUAUGGAAGCACCUGAGAGGCGAGAGGUCCCUUGGCGUGACCGGGGUGUUACCAGCCCCCGCGUGUGUGUAAGGGUGGUCAGGCGUCACUUCACAAAUCACACUGCUGUGGGCUCGAGAGGGGUUUCUGUGUGCGAAGCUACAGCUGUGGAGGUACACCCGACUGGGAUAAAUGCCGCGUUUCCAUCGGAAAAAGUUUCGCCUACUCCAGUUAAAAUAAUUGAUUGCUAACAGCAUCUUUGUUCUUCCCACUGACAUUUGGGCCUUGACCUGCCACAGCCUGGUGCUUUAUUUACAUCCAGUGCUUUAAGGGUCUGGCUGCAAGAGCAGCAGAAGUCAAGACCCCUUACUUCUCCCAGGCAGAGUCAGAGAAUAUCUCAAGUUGGAAGGGACCCACAAGGAUCAUCGAGUCAACUCCUGGCACCACACAUGUCAACCCAAAAAUUCAGACCAUGUGACUAAGUGCACAGUCCUAACGCUUCUACACAUCUCGUCAUCCAGCCAGCUUUGUCUAAUCUGGGGGCUUGGAAGCAAAUCCCACUUUCCAAAUGAGCGUCCACACUGCACCCAUCUUGUCCGCACGAGAAGACGUGUAGUUUCUUCAUAGAUAACCUGGUGAAAAAAGAUUUGUAUUCAGGUAAAACACAUUUGCUAAAUUUUGUUGUUACAUUUGAUGUUCCACAUGAAGAGCUGCAAUUCUAAACCCUAAUGACAAUUGGUGAUCAAAACUAGGAACACAGCAACGGGUUACCAUCAAGAUACAUGAGCUUCUUAGAAAAUUCUAGUCCAGGUUUACCUCUGUGUGAUGCUGCCGAACCUCAAACAUUCAUACCUUCAGUGAGAAAUCAGGCUAUAUUCAGGUGGUGAUUUUAAGUUGGGCAGCUGAAUA